AAUAUAUGUCUGAGGUACAGCUGUUCUUCCAUCAGCAAACUCCUUUUGGAAGAAUUAUUCAGUCUCCACUUUAAUUCAAGUAAAACAUGAACUUGUCAGAAAGUAUGAGGAUGACAGCCACCCUUUGAUGACUCUCAGACUUUUGCCACAUAGAUCUGCACUAUUGGGUACUGCUUGCAGCUUCAGAGACUGCCAAACAGAGAAAUUCACCAGGGAUGAUCACCAAUUUCCCACCUCACCUCUGUAGUCUUCAUAUACACAGGGGAGAGGGAAGGACUUCCAAAGCCAAGUCUGAAAGUGGUGUGGGGAAGAAAAAUUGUCCUUUGCUGCGUCACACUCCUCAACACAACCUGACAGCAAUAACCAGAAGACUCAACUUGCAGCACCUGGGUUCUGUUGGAGUCUCCUCCCACCCCAGGUGUGAGCACUUUGCUCUCCCUGCCCACUCCCUAUUUAAUGGGCCCCAGGAAAGGCAGUGUCCAAGCUUGCCCAUCUGGGCAGAGGGAUCCUCCUGAUCCUGUCAUCUCUGGCUACCUUUCUCAAAGAAUAUUGAUCUUGCCACUUCAUUGCAGCUUAGUACCAAAGAACCAUGGAGCUGUUGAGCUUGGAAGAGACCUUCAAAAUUAUCAAGCCCAACCACUAAUUUGAACCCACAGUCCUAACACUACUGCUAAGUAACUACCACUAAACCAUGUCCCUAAGCACCACAUCCAUGUGUCUUUUAAAUACAUUAGAGAUGAUGACUCCAUCAUGUCUCUGGACAACCUGCUUGUUUCAUUGAAUUUUUGGUUUGGUCUGGUUUGGUUUAUUUUAGGUUUUGCAGGUGCUGCUUUGAGGUUUGUUUUUUGGUUGUUUUUUUCCAAUGGAAAACUCUAGAAGGUUUGAUUAUGUAGACCCCUAAGGUUCUUAUCCACCCUUAUGUGUGUAUCUUAGUAUUCCUAUUCAAUAUUACUGGCAUAUUAUGGGCUUUGUGGAACUUGGUCUCAUUGUGGCAUAAAAGGAGACAGUUUCUGGGUGAGGAGUAUGCUCUGAAGUAGACAGUCCCUGAGUAGCAGGGUUUCUGGAAGGAUUUGGGCAGAUUCCUAGGAUGAUAAUCACCUCCCAGAGCCUGAUACCUUACCCUAGAAGAGGCAAGUGAUUCUGGUAAACUGACAUGCCAUCUGAUAGAAGGAUGCCUUCAAUAUCCCAUUGAAAACCAACAACUUCUAGCACUUUACUGGGGCUUGACCUGUGCUUAUCAAGCCACUGUUCAGUACUCCAAAAGGACUGUGGUUGAGGCAGGCAUCCAAAAUUCACCUGCCGAUGCCAUAGUUGAGAUGAGGACCCAAGCAACAACUACAGUGAUUAUCCCUGUAGUGAAGAAGAAACAAUGGACAAGAGGUCAACAGGUCCGUAUCACUGAUUAAUAAGGGAAGAAGAAGGAGAGGAAGACUCUGAUCAAAGGCCUGGUCCAUCAACUAGGAUAUCAGAAGUGAAAAAAAACAGGAGGCAGAGACUACCAAGUCCCUGAGCUCAUCAGAACUUAGAGACAUUUGGGAAGAUUACAGCUGCCAGUCAGGAGAGCAGAUUGCUGCCUCACUCCUUGAAUGCUGGGAUAGAGGGACCAACAGUCAGCUGCUGGGAGGUAGAGAAGCUGGACAACUGGAACUCCUCACUAGAAAGUAAGGGGUUGAGAAAGGAAUUGGAAAAGAAAUGGGUAAUUUCAUUCUUUGGGUUUGCCUCUUCUCAAGAGUAAGGGCAAGGUACUCAUUCAAGGAAGAUCAUGUCAUUUUGCAGGAAAGUGGAAUACCGCAGAUGAAGGUAUCCAGUGCCAGAAGGAAUUAGCAGCUUUGGUGUGCAUCUUACCCUCAGCCAGGGUCAAGCCAACAGAAAAGCUCACUGUAGAAGUAUUCUGUGAGUCUUUGAAAUAAAUCUACUCUAUGACCUAA